GACGAACGCUGGCGGCGUGCCUAAUACAUGCGAGUAGAACGCUGAAGAGAGGAGCUUGCUCUUCUUGGAUGAGUUGCGAACGGGUGAGUAACGCGUAGGUAACCUGCCUUGUAGCGGGGGAUAACUAUUGGAAACGAUAGCUAAUACCGCAUAACAAUGGAUGACACAUGUCAUUUAUUUGAAAGGGGCAAUUGCUCCACUACAAGAUGGACCUGCGUUGUAUUAGCUAGUAGGUGAGGUAAUGGCUCACCUAGGCGACGAUACAUAGCCGACCUGAGAGGGUGAUCGGCCACACUGGGACUGAGACACGGCCCAGACUCCUACGGGAGGCAGCAGUAGGGAAUCUUCGGCAAUGGGGGCAACCCUGACCGAGCAACGCCGCGUGAGUGAAGAAGAUUUUCGGAUCGUAAAGCUCUGUUGUAAGUCAAGAACGGGUGUGAGAGUGGAAAGUUCACACUGUGACGGUAGCUUACCAGAAAGGGACGGCUAACUACGUG
rnacentral:rRNA from 1 species